rnacentral:rRNA from 1 species
CCGCGUGGAUGAAGAAGGUCUUCGGAUCGUAAAAUCCUGUUGUUGAAGAAGAACGGUUGUGAGAGUAACUGCUCAUAGCGUGACGGUAAUCAACCAGAAAGUCACGGCUAACUACGUGCCAGCAGCCGCGGUAAUACGUAGGUGGCAAGCGUUGUCCGGAUUUAUUGGGCGUAAAGGGAGCGCAGGCGGUCUUUUAAGUCUGAAUGUGAAAGCCCUCAGCUUAACUGAGGAAGAGCAUCGGAAACUGAGAGACUUGAGUGCAGAAGAGGAGAGUGGAACUCCAUGUGUAGCG